CCUACGGGUGGCAGCAGUGGGGAAUAUUGGACAAUGGGGGGAACCCUGAUCCAGCCAUGCCGCGUGUGUGAAGAAGGCCCUCGGGUUGUAAAGCACUUUCAGUGGGGAAGAACGCGUGGUGGUUAAUACCCAUCAGGAAAGACAUCACUCACAGAAGAAGCACCGGCUAACUCCGUGCCAGCAGCCGCGGUAAUACGGAGGGUGCGAGCGUUAGUCGGAAUUACUGGGCGUAAAGCGCGCGUAGGUGGCUUGAUAAGCCGGUUGUGAAAGCCCCGGGCUCAACCUGGGAACGGCAUCCGGAACUGUCAAGCUAGAGUGCAGGAGAGGAAGGUAGAAUUCCCAGUGUAGCGGUGAAAUGCGUAGAGAUCGGGAGGAAUACCAGUGGCGAAGGCGGCCUUCUGGACUGACACUGACACUGAGGUGCGAAAGCGUGGGUAGCAAACAGGAUUAGAUACCCCGGUAGUC
rnacentral:rRNA from 1 species